CCGGGCAGCACAGAAUCUCGUCCUCAAAAGUGCAGCUGCUGCUUUUGUCUUACAUUCAUUCCUCCUCCGUUGAAAGUUUGACUCCAUUCGUAUUUGGCCUAGUCUUUACCUCGUUUUUGUCGCCACAAUGUGCUGUGGGUGAGCGCACAGACCGCGUGCAAUUUGUGCACAAAGCCGCCAGCCUGUUGUGAGGCGCCGCGUGGAUUGGUGAGCUCUGCUUGAGCAGCCUUUACAGACCACCUGCAAUGACUCCUGCAAAUGAUUCGAUUUAACAGUGAUGAGAAAUGACUUGGGGCGGGGUUUAAGGUCGUUUUGAGCUCCUCAUCAUACCGGGUUCUACUGUACAUACCAUGAUGGAGAUCUUGGAAGUAUUGCUGUGCCAAAAUACAUGAAAAUGGGCCAAAAGUGGAUGCAGACACCGUUCUUUUGUCAAGGGGAAGGACAACGCUGGAAUGGAGUUUAUUGCAACGUUAAAUUCCAAGAAUGAAGAAAAGCACAUACUUUUUUGACUCCGAAGUGUUCAGUGGGGACCAGAUAAACAAAGACAUCUUGAUAUUGAAGGCUUUCAAAAAGGCCCGAGAUAAUGUGGUCUACAGCUGUGCAUCAAUCAACAGUAAUGCGCAAGUAUUUGGUGAAGUAACUUGACUUGCUGGGCCAGACAAUGAUUUCCACUGCGAAAGAGGGAAACAAGAUGGCGCAACGUUGUCUCUUUGCUACGAACCAUUCAAUUGAUUAUAUUUGAUACAUUUCAACUGUAACACCAUUUAUCUAGUUGAAAUAGCCUAAUUCUCACUCUCUUCCUUUCAUCAACAUACUGGCUUUACGGCAGCUUUGUGAAUAUGAUUAAUGUCAUUACUCUAAUAAAUGGAGAUGUAUUAA